rnacentral:rRNA from 1 species
AGGAUGAACGCUGGCGGCGUGCCUAACACAUGCAAGUCGAACGUCCUUGCGGUCUUCUUCUUCGGAGGAGGACCGCGAGGGAGUGGCGGACGGGUGAGUAACACAUGGGUACCUGCCUUUCAGUGAGGAAUACCGGCGAGAAAUCGCCGACAAGACCGCAUAGGCUUCCUUCGGUAGCCCGAGGGAAGCAAAGUUACUUCGCGAGAGGUGACGCUGGAAGAGGGGCCUGUGGCCGAUUAGCUAUUGGGGGGGUAACGGCCUCCCAAGGCGACGAUCGGUAGCUGGUCUGAGAGGACGAUCAGCCACACUGGGAUUGAGAACGGCCCAGACUCCUACGGGGGGCAGCAGUGAGGAAUUUUCCGCAAUGGACGAAAGUCUGACGGAGCAACGCCGCGUGCAGGAGGAAGGUUUUCGGAUCGUAAACUGCUUUUCUCGGGGACGAGGCAAGGACGGUACCCGAGGAAGAAGCCCCGGCUAACUACGUGCCAGCAGCCGCGGUAA